rnacentral:sRNA from 1 species
CUUACUGUUACUAAGGGACAAGUGCAGACUAGUGAUUACAUCCAAAUUUUGUUUUCAAAUAGUAACAAAGAGCUUCUGAACUUUGAAGAAAUCUUAUUCAACAUUUGUGUGAGUGAUAAGUUGAACAUUUGACGCCUACAAACAGCGAUGGAUAGAAUGGAAGAGAUGAUCAAUGAGCCAGCGCAACGAAACUCGGUCUGCGUCUUUACAAACUUGACCGCAUC